AGAACGAACGCUGGCGGCAUGCCUAAUACAUGCAAGUCGAACGAACUCUUCGGAGUUAGUGGCGCACGGGUGCGUAACGCGUGGGAAUCUGCCCUUGGGUUCGGAAUAACAGUUGGAAACGACUGCUAAUACCGGAUGAUGACGAAAGUCCAAAGAUUUAUCGCCCAGGGAUGAGCCCGCGUAGGAUUAGCUAGUUGGUGAGGUAAAGGCUCACCAAGGCGACGAUCCUUAGCUGGUCUGAGAGGAUGAUCAGCCACACUGGGACUGAGACACGGCCCAGACUCCUACGGGAGGCAGCAGUAGGGAAUAUUGGACAAUGGGCGAAAGCCUGAUCCAGCAAUGCCGCGUGAGUGAUGAAGGCCUUAGGUGUAAGGCUCUUUUACCGAGAUGAUAAUGACAGUAUCGGAGAAUAAGCCCGGCUAACUCCGCGCCAGCAGCCGC
rnacentral:rRNA from 1 species